rnacentral:rRNA from 1 species
GACAUGCAGAGAACUUCCAGAGAUGGAUGGUGCCUUCGGGAACUCUGACACAGGUGCUGCAUGGCUGUCGUCAGCUCGUGUCGUGAGAUGGUUGGGUUAAGUCCCGUAACGAGCGCAACCCUUGUCCUUAGUUACCAGCACGUUAUGGUGGGCACUCUAAGGAGACUGCCGGUGACAAACCGGAGGAAGGUGGGGAUGACGUCAAGUCAUCAUGGCCCUUACGGCCUGGGCUACACACGUGCUACAAUGGUCGGUACAAAGGGUUGCCAAGCCGCGAGGUGGAGCUAAUCCCAUAAAACCGAUCGUAGUCCGGAUCGCAGUCUGCAACUCGACUGCGUGAAGUCGGAAUCGCUAGUAAUCGUGAAUCAGAAUGUCACGGUGAAUACGUUCCCGGGCCUU